UACUUUAACCAUGUACUAAUCCUACAUAAUUUUUGUUUAGGUACUACUAUAUUACACAAUAUUCAUCAGAACCUAUUGAAUCAAAUGCAUUAAAAUCAAAACUAAUGGAAGAGGAAAAGGUUUUAGUCCCUACUUAAAAUUAUCUUUGUAUGAGUAUGUUAAAAAUUGAAAUUCCUUAUCAGUUAUCCAAAUUACAUGUAUUACCAUAUUACACAAUAUUCAUCGGAACCUAUUGAAUCAAAUGCAUUAAAUUCAAAACUAAUGGAAGGGGAAGAGGUUUUAGUCCCUACUAAAAUUAUCUUUGUAUGAGUUUGUUAAAAAUUGAAAUUCCUUAUCAGAUAUCCAAAUUACAUGUAUUAUCAUAUUACACAAUAGUCAUCGGAACCUAUUGAAUCAAAUGCAUUAAAUUCAAAACUAAUGGAAGGGGAAGAGGUUUUAGUCCCUACUUAAAAUUAUCUUUGUAUGAGUAUGUUAAAAAUUGAAAUUCCUUAUCAGUUAUCCAAAUUACAUGUAUUACCAUAUUACACAAUAUUCAUCGGAACCUAUUGAAUCAAAUGCAUUAAAUUCAAAACUAAUGGAAGGGGAAGAGGUUUUAGUCCCUACUUAAAAUUAUCUUUGUAUGAGUAUGUUAAAAAUUGAAAUUCCUUAUCAGUUAUCCAAAUUACAUGUAUUACCAUAUUACACAAUAUUCAUCGGAACCCAUUGAAUCAAAUGCAUUAAAUUCAAAACUAAUGGAAGGGGAAGAGGUUUUAGUCCCUACUUAAAAUUAUCUUUGUAUGAGUAUGUUAAAAAUUGAAAUUCCUUAUCAGUUAUCCAAAUUACAUGUAUUACCAUAUUACACAAUAUUCAUCGGAACCUAUUGAAUCAAAUGCAUUAAAUUCAAAACUAAUGGAAGGGGAAGAGGUUUUAGUCCCUACUUAAAAUUAUCUUUGUAUGAGUAUGUUAAAAAUUGAAAUUCAUCAGUUAUAUAAAUUACAUGUAUUACCAUAUUACACAAUAUUCAUCGGAACCUAUUGAAUCAAAUGCAUUAAAUUCAAAACUAAUGGAAGGGGAAAAGGUUUUAAUCCCUACUUAACAUUAUCUUUGUAUGAGUAUGUUAAAAAUUGAAAUUCAUCAGUUAUAUAAAUUACAUGUAUUACCAUAUUACACAAUAUUCAUCGGAACCUAUUGAAUCAAAUGCAUUAAAUUCAAAACUAAUGGAAGGGGAAGAGGUUUUAGUCCCUACUAAAAUUAUCUUUGUAUGAGUUUGUUAAAAAUUGAAAUUCCUUAUCAGAUAUCCAAAUUACAUGUAUUACCAUAUUACACAAUAUUCAUCGGAACCUAUUGAAUCAAAUGCAUUAAAUUCAAAACUAAUGGAAGGGGAAGAGGUUUUAGUCCCUACUAAAAUUAUCUUUGUAUGAGUUUGUUAAAAAUUGAAAUUCCUUAUCAGAUAUCCAAAUUACAUGUAUUACCAUAUUACACAAUAUUCAUCGGAAACUAUUGAAUCAAAUGCAUUAAAUUCAAAACUAAUGGAAGGGGAAAAGGUUUUAAUCCCUACUUAAAAUUAUCUUUGUAUGAGUAUGUUAAAAAUUGAAAUUCCUUAUCAGUUAUCCAAAUUACAUGUAUUACCAUAUUACACAAUAUUCAUCGGAAACUAUUGAAUCAAAUACAUUAAAUUCAAAACUAAUGGAAGGGGAAAAGGUUUUAAUCCCUACUUAAAAUUAUCUUUGUAUGAGUAUGUUAAAAAUUGAAAUUCCUUAUCAGUUAUCCAAAUUACAUGUAUUACUAUAUUACACAAUAUUCAUCGGAAACUAUUGAAUCAAAUGCAUUAAAUUCAAAACUAAUGGAAGGGGAAAAGGAUUUAGUCCCUACUUAACAUUAUCUUUGUAUGAGUAUGUUAAAAAUUGAAAUUCAUCAGUUAUAUAAAUUACAUGUAAACACCGUGUUUUAAACUUGAUAAUCAUAUGCAAUUCGUAAAAGAUAUAAGUGUUGAGAGAAUGGCGAUCGGCGAAACUACUGGUCGAGUGCGCGGUUGUGUAAAUACUGAAUACCUACACAGUACACAUAGUCAAGACCGGGUAUGGCGGUGGCAGCGUCGUAGCGACGGUACAAACAGCCGUUAGAAGGUUUUCGGGUUUCCCCGAAUAAAACUCAACAAGAACACCAAAUUUAUAUAAUAUUAUUUAAUAUUUAUAUCACAAAUCAUAAUUAUUUCUUUGAAUUUGUGGCGGUGAUUGGCUGUCUUUGUCUAACACACGCACAACUUUAGAAUUUAGACGCGUUUUUGUCCAACGCACCGAUUUAUACAGUUAAGAGAUAAGAAUUCUGAAAACAGAUUUGAAUUGGUCAUCGAGUGUACUUGAGAUCGGCUGGCUAGUCCACUUUUCCCAGUUAACCUACGUACAAAUUAAUAAAAAUUUUAUACUACUUAGGUACAUAAAAUUAAAAAACACUAAGUUAAAUACCGUUUUAAAAUCAUCAACCAAAGUAAGGAAAUUAAAAGGUUUAGGUAUUAGCUACAUAAAUGAUAGGUCACAUAUACAACUAUAUAAAUUACAAUUGCCUAUAUAUGUAGGAUAAGAUAGAUUAUAAUGUAUUAUAUCAAAAUAAUAUAAUAAUUACCGAUUAUACCGUAAUUCCAGAAUGUGUAUCAACACAAAAUUGUUUUGAGAUAGACAAGGUUUAAUUCUUAACUCUAUUCAUACCCGUCAUUAUGCACCUUUUUGAAAAUAAACAAUAAUAACAGCUUUGCAGUUAAGUAUAUAUAUCUGAAUGCGCUAGUAUAUUUAUUUUAUUUUUGCAAAAGGUAAAUAAUAUACGGACAAUAUUAAGCGAUAUUUAGCUUAGAAAUACACCCAUACACGAUAUGAUACAAACAAAAUAGUGAAAAUUUAGACGUUUUAACACACCAUGAAUUCCAAUUUAUAUUAUAUAUAUUAUAUUAUUAUAAUAAAAUAUUUUUAUUUUUAUUUA